UCCCAUAUAGUCUAGCAGUUAGGAUUCCUGGUUUUCAAUCAGGGGGCCUGGGUUUCACUCCUGGUGUAGGAA
rnacentral:tRNA from 1 species